UUAGAAGGAAAGGCAGAAAAAGAUAGAUACAAAUCUGCGGAAGGACCAAUCUUGGGAGAUUUUAUUUCUUUCUGGGCAUCUGUGGAUUCAGUGGGUCCCUUAGCCCAGAUUUUUCAGUGUAGGUAGUUAGUAUCUGUUUCGUGGUAGUCUUUAGUCAGCUUUUCACAUGUGAUUACUUCUUGUAGGCGUUUCUUGCUGCCUGAGUACUUGCCUUAUGCUGGGAUUUUUCAUGAACGUGGACAGCCUGGCUUGGCUACUCACUCUUCUGUUAACAGGGUCCUGGCAGGGGCAGUGAUCGGUGAUGGACAGUCUGCUGUGGCCAGUAACAUUGCCAAUACUACCUACCGGCUCCAGUGGUGGGACUUCACUAAGUUUGACCUCCCUGAAAUCAGUAAUGCUUCCGUGAAUGUGCUGGUGCAGAACUGCAAGAUCUACAAUGAUGCCAGCUGUGACAUUUCUGCAGAUGGCCAGCUCCUGGCAGCUUUCAUCCCCAGCAGCCAGAGGGGCUUUCCCGAUGAAGGCAUCCUGGCAGUGUACUCCCUGGCCCCCCAUAACCUGGGCGAAAUGCUCUACACCAAGCGAUUUG
rnacentral:sRNA from 1 species